CUACGGGCGGCUGCAGUGGGGAAUAUUGGACAAUGGGGGGAAACCCUGAUCCAGCAAUGCCGCGUGUGUGAAGAAGGCCUGCGGGUUGUAAAGCACUUUCGGUUGGGAGGACUGCUUCUAGCACUAAUAUUGUUGGAAGUUGACGUUACCUUCAGAAGAAGCACCGGCUAACUCCGUGCCAGCAGCCGCGGUAAUACGGAGGGUGGAGCGUUAAUCGGAAUUACUGGGCGUAAAGCGCGCGUAGGCGGCUAGAUCAGUCGGGUGUGAAAGCCCCGGGCUUAACCUGGGAACUGCAUCCGAUACUGUCUAGCUUGAGUACAGGAGAGGAGAGUGGAAUUCCACAUGUAGCGGUGAAAUGCGUAGAUAUGUGGAGGAACACCAAUGGCGAAGGCAGCUCUCUGGCCUGAUACUGACGCUGAGGUGCGAAAGCGUGGGGAGCAAACAGGAUUAGAUACCCCCGUAGUC
rnacentral:rRNA from 1 species